rnacentral:rRNA from 1 species
UACGAAGGGGGCUAGCGUUGCUCGGAAUCACUGGGCGUAAAGCGCACGUAGGCGGAUUGCUAAGUCAGGGGUGAAAUCCUGGAGCUCAACUCCAGAACUGCCUUUGAUACUGGCGAUCUUGAGUCCGGGAGAGGUGAGUGGAACUGCGAGUGUAGAGGUGAAAUUCGUAGAUAUUCGCAAGAACACCAGUGGCGAAGGCGGCUCACUGGCCCGGUACUGACGCUCAGGCGCGAAAGCUAGGGGAGCGAACUGG